rnacentral:rRNA from 1 species
AGUGAACGCUGGCGGCAGGCCUAACACAUGCAAGUCGAACGGCAGCACAGUGGAGCUUGCUCCACGGGUGGCGAGUGGCGGACGGGUGAGGAAUACAUCGGAAUCUGCCCAGUCGUGGGGGAUAACAUAGGGAAACUUAUGCUAAUACCGCAUACGACCUACGGGUGAAAGCGGGGGAUCGCAAGACCUCGCGCGAUUGGAUGAGCCGAUGUCCGAUUAGCUAGUUGGCGGGGUAAUGGCCCACCAAGGCGACGAUCGGUAGCUGGUCUGAGAGGAUGAUCAGCCACACUGGAACUGAGACACGGUCCAGACUCCUACGGGAGGCAGCAGUGGGGAAUAUUGGACAAUGGGCGCAAGCCUGAUCCAGCCAUGCCGCGUGGGUGAAGAAGGCCUUCGGGUUGUAAAGCCCUUUUGUCCGGAAAGAAACGCCUCGGAUUAAUACUCUGGGGUAAUGACGGUACCGGAAGAAUAAGCACCGGCUAACUUCGUGCCAGCAGCCGCCGUAA